UACGGGGGGGGCAAGCGUUGUUCGGAAUUACUGGGCGUAAAGGGCGCGUAGGCGGCCUUCUAAGUCGGACGUGAAAUCCCCAGGCUUAACCUGGGAACUGCAUCCGAUACUGGAUGGCUUGAAUCCGGGAGAGGGAUGCAGAAUUCCAGGUGUAGCGGUGAAAUGCGUAGAUAUCUGGAGGAAUACCGGUGGCGAAGGCGGCAUCCUGGACCGGCAUUGACGCUGAGUGAGCGAAAGCCAGGGGAGCAAACGGG
rnacentral:rRNA from 1 species